UACGUAGGGGGCAAGCGUUGUCCGGAUUCAUUGGGCGUAAAGAGCGUGUAGGCGGCCAGGUAGGUCGGUUGUGAAAACUGGAGGCUCAACCUUCAGAGGUCGACCGAAACCAUCUGGCUAGAGUCCGGGAGAGGAGAGUGGAAUUCCUGGUGUAGCGGUGAAAUGCGCAGAUAUCAGGAGGAACACCGGUGGCGAAGGCGGAUCUCUGGGCCGAUACUGACGCUGAGGAGCGAAAGCGUGGGGAGCGAACAGG
rnacentral:rRNA from 1 species